rnacentral:lncRNA from 1 species
AUUGUGACACACAUCUAGGCCAAUUGCUUAAGUGAAGUGAGUCUCCUCACCUUCCUAAGCCCUGUCCAGGGGGAAUUUUGAUGUAUCACAAAAACCAGCAUCCAGUUGAUGUGACUCUUCUUCCAGGGUCCUGCCCACAAGAAAGAUUGUGACAUCUCACUGGACAAGCACCCACCCAGGUGAUAUAACCCUCUUCUCUGGAAUGGGCCCCACACAAAGGAAGGAUAGUGACAUAUUGCAAGCCCAGGCACACAGGCCCAGAGCACAGUUGAAAUUGUGACAUAUGUACACCAAGCAACCAAGCAAUGUAUAACACCUCAUUUGGCAAUGGAAUCGAGGGCACUUUUACAUAUCACUGAGACCAGCGCCCAGCUGAUGUGAAAUAUUGGCCUGAACCCUGCCUACAAAAGCAUUGUGGCUUUUAUCUAGCUCCAUUACAUAAGUGAUGUGACUUCCUUCUACUGCCUUGGCCCUGCACUUAUGGUGAAUCGUGACACAAAAUUGGGUAGAGCAACCAGGUGAUGUGACCCUUUUUUUUUUGGCGGGGGGCCAGUCUGUCAAUAGGAAGCUUUAACAUAUCA